ensembl:lincRNA
GCGGUCCUCGCCCCUGGUCACGGCGCAGUCCCCGCCUCGCGCCGAGGUUCAUCCGCCCUACGGGGGUCCACGCGCCGGGCUGUCCGCGGUCCCCUCGGCCUCUCUGGGCUAUUCGCUCCUCCGCGGUCCCCGUGAGCCGUCCCCCGCACCCCCGCCCCGGGGUCCGCCGGUCCUUCCCACGCCCGAUCGGCGCACUGCCGGCCUCCCGGCGGCCCGCAGGCCAACCCUACCCAGUGGUGAUGUCCUCGUCCUCCGUCAUGGUCUUGCCCAUGAGGUCGCUGUCGCUCAUGUAGCCGGACUUGAGGUCCACGUCUUCCGAGUCCAGGGACUCCACCAGCUCCAGGCGCGAGAUGUGGCCGAGCUUGCUCGGGGAGCGCAUGGGCAUGGUGUGCGCGUAGUGCGCGCGCUCCCCGUGCAUGUACCAGGCGGGCGGCCCCUCCGAGCGGCCGCUGCCGCCCACCAGCUGGGACUGCAGGCCCGACAGGGACGGGCUGUGUGGCCAGAGCCCCUGNNNNNNNNNNNNNNNNNNNNNNNNNNNNNNNNNNNNNNNNNNNNNNNNNNNNNNNNNNNNNNNNNNNNNNNNNNNNNNNNNNNNNNNNNNNNNNNNNNNNCACAGGGCCGGGCGUCCCGACCCUGGCAGCUGCUGGCUCGCGGGUUUCCUGCCCUGUGCGGGAGGCCGGGGUGGCGCUGGGCACGACCGCACACAGGCCGCGGCCUCACCAGGGAGCACCGUGCUCACACGGAAGGCCGAGCGCCCACCAGGAUCAGACAGCUCUGUGACGGCUCUCUCAUAGUAAACAAUCCCAGUAACGGCAUCAGCAGUGAAAUACAAAUCGUGAGGGAUGAAGCAGGUGCUACGUUUACGGUUGGAACCUUGUCAUAUAAACGCCCUCACUGGUUCUCGUGAGAACCCCGUGGAGCAGGCAGGCAGGUGACAGCGUUCCAUGUACUUCCAGAUAAACUAAGGAUGAGCAGCAAACUGACUUGUCCAGGGCCGCCCCGCUCAGAAGCCUCCAGGGCCUGGCCCUGUGGCCUCCACCAGGGUCUCAGGGGGCAUUCAGGAGAGCUAAGGGUGCACGGACGGAGGCUGGGAGGGCCCCGACAGGAAAGUGUCCCUCCUUCCCGCUGCCCCCACACCCAGCAUCCCUGCACCGUCCCCAGAAGAUUGUGCUUCUCACCGAUCAUUCCGUAAGCUGCUCCUGCCACUUAAGGACACCGUCCGUUUCCUGCGACUCUUCCCCACCCCGCUUGCCCAAUUUGGGUAUUGACUCCAGGUCUGCAGAAGAGUCCGACCGACCUCGGGUCUUUGGCAGAUCUGUGAUAUUUAAAUCCUCCAACAAUGCCUCGCGUCAGUCGCUUAGAGCAUGUGGAUUCAAGCCAGGCCUAAAAUAGCAGCAGAAGAGAAACACCUGAAGGACCAGAAACAUCCCGACGCGGAAAGAAGCUGAGGCCGGGUCCAGGCAAAGCUGCUGUUUUUGUUUUUAAUUUUUUCUAAUUUUUUAGUUAACUUUUUGGAAACCGCCUUAAAAUUAAGAGAAACGUUCCCAGUUCCAGGACAAAGAACUUUUCCCACCUGAGCCGUCUGAGGGUAAACUGCGGACCUGAGGCUGCCACCCGUCACCUCAGGGCUUGUUCCCUACGAGUCUGCACCUUCUACAAAACCGCCUGGCAACCCUCCCGGGCGGCAAGCCAACACUCCGGCUUCGCCACUGGGCCCUCGUAUUCUCUUCGAGCUUGGUCACCGUCUGCAGGGCUCUUUGUAGUAAAAAGACCCCGUCCAGGCUCACAGACUGCAUUCAGACCCCGUCUCCUUUUAAAUAACUAUUUAAACGCAGACACACCCCUGGGAAUCUAGAACGCCUCACAGGCCUCAGAUCACAGAGGGUUCUCUUCAACCACCUCGGAAGUGAAGACAAGGGCCAGGCCUGGACACCCUCGAGUGUCCCUGGGGCUUCAAGCUCCCUGGAAUCGUUUGCUUCAAGAACAGAAGGUGAUGUUAGUUGUGGACACGGACUCCUUCACAGAGCCCAGCCCCCCACCAGGGCCGGCCCAGGCAUCAGAGGGGUUCUCCCUGCGGCCUGACCCCCCCACCUCUUCCUGCCCCCCCGGCUGCGACGGGGGCCCCCCCCGCCGCGCGCGCGCCGGGGGGGGGGG